AAACAUGGCUCCUUGAAUAAUACUAAUAAGGAGUCUAGCCUGCCCAGUGAUAAUUUUAACGGCCGCAGUACCCUAACUGUGCAAAGGUAGCAUAAUCAUUUGCCCUAUAAUUGAGGGCUAGUAUGAAUGGCUCAACAUGAAUAAAUCUGUCUCUAUAAAUCUAAUUAAAAAUUAACUUUCAGGUGAAGAGGCCUGUAUUAUAUUAAAAGACGAGAAGACCCCGUCGAGCUUAAAAAAUAUUAAGAUUUAUCUAUAAUUAAAUUUUAGUUGGGGCGACUGAGGAGCAUUAAAAACUUCCUUUAUAUAUAAAAUUUAUAGUUAUUGAUCCACUAAAAGUGAUAAAAAGAAAAGCUACCGCGGGGAUAACAGCGUAAUUUUUUUUAAGAGUACAUAUUAAAAAAAAAGUUUGCGACCUCGAUGUUGGACUAAAAUUUCCCAAAGAUGCAGACGUCUUUAAAGGUUGGUCUGUUCGACCAUUAAAAUUUUACAUGAUCUGA
rnacentral:rRNA from 1 species